AACGAACGCUGGCGGCAUGCCUAACACAUGCAAGUCGAACGAGACCUUCGGGUCUAGUGGCGCACGGGUGCGUAACGCGUGGGAACCUGCCCUUAGGUUCGGAAUAACUCCCCGAAAGGGGUGCUAAUACCGGAUAAUGUCUUCGGACCAAAGAUUUAUCGCCUUUGGAUGGGCCCGCGUUGGAUUAGCUAGUUGGUAGGGUAAAAGCCUACCAAGGCGACGAUCCAUAGCUGGUCUGAGAGGAUGAUCAGCCACAUGGGAACUGAGACACGGCCCAGACUCAGCCGGGGGGGAGGAGGGGGGAAAAUUGGAAAAGGGGGGAAAGCCGGAACAACGAAUGGGGGGUGAGGGAUGAAGGCUUUGGGGUUGAAAAGCUCUUUUACCCGGGAUAAUAAAGAAAGUACGGGGAAAAAAAGCCCCGGCAAAACCCG
rnacentral:rRNA from 1 species